rnacentral:rRNA from 1 species
GACAGAGGUGGCAAGCGUUGUUCGGAUUCAUUGGGUGUAAAGGGUUCGUAGGUGGCCCAGCAAGUCUGACGUGAAAUCCCAUGGCUCAACCGUGGAACUGCGUUGGAAACUGCAGGGCUUGAGUACCGCAGAGGUAAAGGGAAUUCCCGGUGUAAGGGUGAAAUCUGUAGAUAUCGGGAGGAACACCAGUGGCGAAGGCGCUUUACUGGGCGGUUACUGACACUGAGGAACGAAAGCAAGGGGAGCAAACAGG